GUGUCCACGAGUCCCCUAGAGAAGGGCUUUCCCUUCGGGGACAGAGUGACAGGUGGUGCAUGGUUGUCGUCAGCUCGUGUCGUGAGAUGUUGGGUUAAGUCCCGCAACGAGCGCAACCCUUGAUCUUAGUUGCCAGCAUUCAGUUGGGCACUCUAAGGUGACUGCCGGUGACAAACCGGAGGAAGGUGGGGAUGACGUCAAAUCAUCAUGCCCCUUAUGACCUGGGCUACACACGUGCUACAAUGGACAGAACAAAGGGCUGCAAGACCGCAAGGUUUAGCCAAUCCCAUAAAUCUGUUCUCAGUUCGGAUCGCAGUCUGCAACUCGACUGCGUGAAGCUGGAAUCGCUAGUAAUCGCGGAUCAGCAUGCCGCGGUGAAUACGUUCCCGGGCCUUGUACACACCGA
rnacentral:rRNA from 1 species